rnacentral:rRNA from 1 species
UACGUAGGGUGCGAGCGUUGUCCGGAAUUAUUGGGCGUAAAGGGCUCGUAGGCGGCUUGUCGCGUCGUUCGUGAAACCUGCCAGCUCAACUGCAGGCUUGCGGUCGGAUACGGGCAGGCUAGAGUCUGGUGAGGGGGAUCCUGGAAUUCCUGGUGGUAGCGGUGGAAUGGCGCAGAUAUCAGGAGGAACACCGGUGGCGA